rnacentral:rRNA from 1 species
CUACGGGAGGCUGCAGUGGGGAAUAUUGGACAAUGGGCGAAAGCCUGAUCCAGCAAUACCGCGUGAAUGAUGAAGGCCUUAGGGUUGUAAAGUUCUUUUAGUUGGAAAGAUAAUGACGGUACCAACAGAAAAAGCCCCGGCUAACUCCGUGCCAGCAGCCGCGGUAAGACGGAGGGGGCUAGCGUUGUUCGGAAUUACUGGGCGUAAAGGGCGCGUAGGCGGAUUAGUAAGUUGGGAGUGAAAGCCCGGGGCUUAACCUCGGAACUGCUUUCAAAACUGCUAGUCUUGAGUGAAGUAGGGGAUGAUGGAAUUCCUAGUGUAGAGGUGAAAUUCUUAGAUAUUAGGAGGAACACCGGUGGCGAAGGCGGUCAUCUGGACUUCAACUGACGCUGAGGCGCGAAAGCGUGGGGAGCAAACAGGAUUAGAUACCCGUGUAGUC